rnacentral:misc_RNA from 1 species
GAUGAAGAACGUAGCGAAAUGCGAUAAGUAAUGUGAAUUGCAGAAUUCAGUGAACCAUCGAAUAUUUGAACGCGCAUUGCGCCCUUUGGUAUUCCUUAGGGCAUGCCUGUUCGAGCGUCAUUUAAACCUUCAAGCUAAGCUUGGUGUUGGGUGACUGUCCGCUUCACGGCGGACUCGCCUCAAAAUUAUUGGCGGCCGGUACAUUGGCUUCGAGCGCAGCAGAAACGCGAACUCGGGCCCGUCGUAUUGGCUCCCAGAAGCUAUCUUCACAAUUUUGACCUCGGAUCAGGUAGGGAUACCCGCUGAACUUAAGCAUAUCAAUAAGCGGAGGA